UAUCCUAACCGUGCGAAGGUAGCGUAAUCACUUGUCCUUUAAAUGAGGACUGGUAUGAACGGCUUCACGAAGGCUACACUGUCUCCUUUUUCCAAUCAGUAAAACUAAUCUCCCCGUGAAGAAGCGGGGAUUCAUCUAUAAGACGAGAAGACCCUAUGGAGCUUUAAACAAUUGUUUACACUUGCCUUCAAAUUUUUUAUUACAUUUAGCCAAGCAUUAUGUUUCUAGUUUUAGGUUGGGGUGACCAUGGAGAAAAACUUAUCCUCCACAUUGAAAGAAAUUCUAUUUCUUAGCAAAAAGUUACAUCUUGAUGCACCAACAAAUUGACCUUAAUUGACCCAAUAAUUUGAUCAACGAACCAAGUUACCCUAGGGAUAACAGCGCAAUCCACUUUAAGAGCUCUUAUCGACAAGUGGGUUUACGACCUCGAUGUUGGAUCAGGGUAUCCUAGUGGUGCAGCCGCUA
rnacentral:rRNA from 1 species